CAGCCCCUGAACCUCUUUAACGCGCGCGCCAAAUGCACGCGGCUCACUUCCUGUUCACCUUUGACCUCACACUUUCUCCCAAAAAGCCAGGGGGGGAAAAAAAACAGAAAACGGAACGAGCCAGACGGAGGGAGGAGAGAGGCAGAAGAGGAGAGAGGAAAGUAGGCGAGCUCCUCCUCCUCCCCCGUCUCUCUCCAUAUCUCCUCUCUCUCUCCUUCCUUUUUCUCCUUCUGGGACUUGAAGGGGAAACUUGGUGGCCAGUCUUUUGCCACGUCGAGCCUCCAGUAGGUCCUUGAUCUUCACAGCGGUGCCUUAGCUUGACUUUUUUUUUUUACUGACUCCGCGGAGCUUCAGAAGACGAUGCCCAAGACAAAACCCACAACAGACCCGGCUGUGGCUCAGCGGAGGGACACGGGGGGCAAUGGGCCGACGAGGAGACAGGAGAAUCCUUAACGAGCAUGAAGAGACGUCGCGUUUGAUAGUGAAGAAGAGCCGGAUGAUUCAGCAUCAGCAGCCCCCUGCUGAUGGAGCGGGCUGUUUCUCCCCCAGCCCACUCCGUCAGCCUCAUCGGCACUCGGCGGCGUCCGGCCGCGUGCGUCCGGAUCCGACAGCGUCUCCCGUCCUGGUUGAGCUUUCUCCUACAGCCGCCCAGCCCGCCUGCCCAGUGUUCAGACUACCUGUUCAGGAAGUAGUGGUUGUACAGUAGUCUGCACAUUGGUUAGGCUGGCCAGGGAAGCACGGGGACGAGAGAGAGAGCGAGCGAGCGAGCGAGCGAGCGAGCGAGGAGACAGCUCCAGAGGCCGACACCAGGACAUCCAGCUGUGGGACCAGGCAGCACCACCCUGCGUCCAUGUGGACCAACCCAAGCAGAACUAAAUAAAGCAGCUUCAAGGCUCCACCACAGAGGCCUGGACGUAUGAGUGACGGACACCCCAGUCUUAUUUUCUUUGUAUUUGUUGCAUUGCUUGUCUGUCAACCAAGACUAAAAGUUGAGGUUGAAGUAAAAGGUACAAAUUGUCAAAGAUUUUUUGGAAUGGUUGAAAUAAAGAUGUUGGAAUAUUCA